AGAGUUUGAUCCUGGCUCAGAUUGAACGCUGGCGGCGUGCCUAACACAUGCAAGUCGAGCGGUAACAGGUGUAGCAAUACAUGCUGACGAGCGGCGAACGGGUGAGUAAUGCUUUGGAAUCUUCCCAGUAGUGGGGAAUAACCAGUCGAAAGAUUGGCUAAUACCGCAUACGUCUGUAAAGGGAAAGCGGGGGCUCGUAAGACCUCGCGCUAUUGGAUGAGCCAAAGUCGGAUUAGCUAGUUGGUGGGGUAAUGGCCUACCAAGGCGACAAUCCGUAGCUGGUCUGAGAGGACGACCAGCCACACCGGAACUGAGACACGGUCCGGACUCCUACGGGAGGCAGCAGUGGGGAAUAUUGGACAAUGGGGGAAACCCUGAUCCAGCGACGCCGCGUGUGUGAAGAAGGCCUGCGGGUUGUAAAGCACUUUUAGUGGGGACAAAAAGCUACGGAUUAAUACUCUGUGGUCUUGAUUUAACCCAAAGAAAAAGCACCGGCUAACUCUGUGCCAGCAGCCGCGGUAAUACAGAGGGUGCGAGCGUUAAUCGGAAUUACUGGGCGUAAAGCGCGCGUAGACGGUUUUGUAAGUCAGAUGUGAAAUCCCUGGGCUCAACCUGGGAACUGCAUUUGAAACUGCAUGGCUAGAGUAUCGAAGAGGGAAGUGGAAUUUCCGGUGUAGCGGUGAAAUGCGUAGAUAUCGGAAGGAACACCAGUGGCGAAAGCGACUUCCUGGUCGAAUACUGACGUUCAUGUGCGAAAGCGUGGGGAGCAAACAGGAUUAGAUACCCCCGUAGUCC
rnacentral:rRNA from 1 species